rnacentral:rRNA from 1 species
UAGGCGGCCGAUUAAGUCGGGGGUGAAAGCCUGUGGCUCAACCACAGAAUUGCCUUCGAUACUGGUUGGCUUGAGACCGGAAGAGGACAGCGGAACUGCGAGUGUAGAGGUGAAAUUCGUAUAUAUUCGCAAGAACACCAGUGGCGAAGGCGGCUGUCUGGUCCGGUUCUGACGCUGAGGCGCGAAAGCGUGGGGAGCAAACAGGAUUAGAUACCCUGGUAGUCCACGCCAUAAACGAUGAAUGCCAG